rnacentral:misc_RNA from 1 species
GAUGAAGAACGUAGCGAAAUGCGAUAAGUAAUGUGAAUUGCAGAAUUCCGUGAAUCAUCGAAUCUUUGAACGCACAUUGCGCCCCCUGGUAUUCCGGGGGGCAUGUCUGUCCGAGCGUCAUUGCAACCUUCAAGCGCGGCUUGUGUGUUGGGUCUCGUCCCCCGUGGACGGGCCCGAAAGGCAGUGGCGGCGUCCCGACAUGGUGCCCGAGCGUAUGGGAAUCCUCUUCCGCUCGAAUCGGCCCAUGCGGCGCUGGUCGUAACCAAAUUUUUUGCCGGUUGACCUCGGAUCAGGUAGGGAUACCCGCUGAACUUAAGCAUAUCAAUAAGCGGAGGA